AAGGAUUCCCCUAGUAACGGCGAGUGAAGCGGGAAGAGCUCAAAUUUGAAAUCUGGCAGUCUUCGAUUGUCCGAGUUGUAAUCUAUAGAGGCGUUUUCCGUGCCGGACCGUGUCCAAGUCUCCUGGAAAGGAGUAUCAAAGAGGGUGAUAAUCCCGUACUUAACACGACCACCGGUGCUCUGUGAUACGUCUUCUACGAGUCGAGUUGUUUGGGAAUGCAGCUCAAAAUGGGUGGUGAAUUCCAUCUAAAGCUAAAUAUUGGCGAGAGACCGAUAGCGAACAAGUACCGUGAGGGAAAGAUGAAAAGCACUUUGGAAAGAGAGUUAAACAGUACGUGAAAUUGUUGAAAGGGAAACGAUUGAAGUCAGUCGUGUUCUUUGGAUUCAGCCAGUUCUGCUGGUCUACUUCCUUGGAACGGGUCAACAUCAGUUUUGUCCGGUGGAUAAAGGUAGUAGGAAUGUGACUUCUCCGGAAGUGUUAUAGCCUAUUAUCACAUACACUGGGUGAGACUGAGGACUGCAGCUCGCCUUUAUGGCCGGCCUUCGGGCACGUUCGAGCUUAGGAUGUUGACAUAAUGGCUUUAAACGACCCGCUAAAA
rnacentral:rRNA from 1 species